ACGAACGCUGGCGGCAUGCCUAACACAUGCAAGUCGAACGCCCCGCAAGGGGAGUGGCGGACGGGUGAGUAACACGUGGGAACCUGCCCAAUGGUCUGGAAUAACCGCGGGAAACUGCGGCUAAUACCGGAUAAGCCCGAGAGGGGAAAGAUUUAUCGCCGAUGGAGGGGCCCGCGUCCGAUUAGGUAGUUGGUGGGGUAACGGCCUACCAAGCCUACGAUCGGUAGCUGGUCUGAGAGGAUGAUCAGCCACACUGGGACUGAGAUACGGCCCAGACUCCUACGGGAGGCAGCAGUGGGGAAUAUUGGACAAUGGGGGCAACCCUGAUCCAGCAAUGCCGCGUGAGUGAUGAAGGCCUUAGGGUUGUAAAGCUCUUUUGGCGGGGACGAUGAUGACGGGUACCCGCAGAAUAAGCCCCGGCUAACUUCGUGCCAGCAGCCGCGGUAAUACGAAGGGGGCGAGCGUUGUUCGGAAUUACUGGGCGUAAAGGGCGCGUAGGCGGCCGCUCAAGUCAGAUGUGAAAGUCCUGGGCUUAACCUGGGGACUGCAUUUGAUACUGUGUGGCUUGAAUUCGGGAGAGGAUAGCGGAAUUCCCAGUGUAGAGGUGAAAUUCGUAGAUAUUGGGAAGAACACCGGUGGCGAAGGCGGCUAUCUGGACCGACAUUGACGCUGAUGCGCGAAAGCGUGGGGAGCAAACAGGAUUAGAUACCCUGGUAGUCCACGCCGUAAACGAUGAAUGCUAGACGCUGGGGAGCAUGCUCUUCGGUGUCGCAGCUAACGCAUUAAGCAUUCCGCCUGGGGAGUACGGUCGCAAGAUUAAAACUCAAAGAAAUUGACGGGGGCCCGCACAAGCGGUGGAGCAUGUGGUUUUAAUUCGAAGCAACGCGAAGAACCUUACCAACCCUUGACAUGGGACGUAUGGGCUCGAGAUGAUCGGGUCCUUCAGUUCGGCUGGCGUCCACACAGGUGCUGCAUGGCUGUCGUCAGCUCGUGUCGUGAUGAUGUUGGGUUAAGUCCCGCAACGAGCGCAACCCUCAUCUUCAGUUGCCAUCAUUUUAGUUGGGCACUCUGAAGAAACUGCCGGUGACAAGCCGGAGGAAGGCGGGAUGACGUCAAGUCCUCAUGGCCCUUACGGGUUGGGCCACACACGUGCUACAAUGGUGGUGACAAUGGGGAGCAAAGGCGCGAGCCCGAGCCGAUCUCAAAAAGCCAUCUCAGUUCGGAUUGCACUCUGCAACUCGGGUGCAUGAAGUUGGAAUCGCUAGUAAUCGCGCAUCAGCACGGCGCGGUGAAUACGUUCCCAGGGCCUUGUACACACCGCCCGUCACACCAUGGGAGUUGGUUCUACCCGAAGCCGGCGUAUCAAACCGCCGACCACGGUAGGGUCAGCGACUGGGGUG
rnacentral:rRNA from 1 species